rnacentral:rRNA from 1 species
CCUACGGGUGGCAGCAGUGAGGAAUAUUGGUCAAUGGUCGGGAGACUGAACCAGCCAAGCCGCGUGAGGGAUGAAGGUACAGAGUAUCGUAAACCUCUUUUGUCAGGGAACAAAGGCGGGGACGUGUCCCCGGAUGAGUGUACCUGAAGAAAAAGCAUCGGCUAACUCCGUGCCAGCAGCCGCGGUAAUACGGAGGAUGCGAGCGUUAUUCGGAUUUAUGGGGGUGAAAGGGGGCGCAGGCGGUCUGUUAAGUCAGCGGUUAAAGCCCCGGGCACAACCCCGGCCCCGCCGUUGAAACUGGCAGUCUCGAGUUGGAGAGAAGUAUGCGGAAUGCGCGGUGUAGCGGUGAAAUGCAUAGAUAUCGCGCAGAACUCCGGUUGCGAAGGCAGCAUGCCGGCUCCACACUGACGCUGAGGCACGAAAGCGUGGGUAUCGAACAGGAUUAGAUACCCGGGUAGUC